AGCAGGGAAGCUGGGUAGGGCUCUCUCUGUGGGGGAGGCAUUUCAGUAUCUGGAGUGGAUGUGGCUGCUGGGUGGAAGGUGGAGUAGGGGCCAGAAGACUCAGUUUGGAGUCACCCUGGACUUAUAUGAGUGUCAGCCACCAAAGAGAGGGCAUUUCUUGCACCUAGGCUGCUUCCUGAGGAGUGCUGCAGAGCCAGAAAGCCCCUUCUCCAGUUGGACAUAAAUCUUGACAAAAAGUUAUCAACGAAUGGCAACAAUAGCAACAAAGUCAACACAGCUACCACAGGCUCUUUACCUCAUUCCAUCUCCAGGAUUUAAUCCAUUGACACACACUGAAAGGAAAAGAAAUUUCCACAUCAACUGGGUUCGUGUUUUGAAAAUCUGAAUGCCAAUAAAUAGAAAAUUAAAUCACUAAGAAUUUUCAUGUAGGCAAUAUAUAAUGACAAUCUAGCUGGACAUUUACUUAAAAUAAAUAUCAAACCUUUUCCAUUCUAUUUCUCAUUUGACAAUCACUUCAAAAAUUUCAUCUGACAGUAUUCCUCAGUAUUCCUGUAAUUACUAAGCAUUCUGCAAUAAAAGUUGUUAUUCUGGGAAGAAUGGGUGAUGAUAAUAUUUAAUAAUGCGAUUUUAUCCUUAAAUGCAAACAUGCUUUUGCUUUGAGCAUGGACCACUUGACAAACUUUCAUAAUACAUGCAUCAGAUAUAUUACAGCGCAUUUUGGAAAAUGGCCAAGCAGUGAUACAUUUAGGACUUAGUUAAAAAUUAAAAAGUCAAUUAAUUCUGAAAAUGUGACUGCAAAGCAAGUCAUUCAUAUGUGGAGAAAAGGGCCUCUCCAACUAAAACAGGUCUUGGAGUUACCAAAUUGCUUACAUUUUAGGGUCCACACACCUCUUUUUGAGGUUGCCACAUUUUAAGCCUUUCAGUUUCUUAACAUAUGUAGCUAUGGACAUCAGUCAAAACAUAGAAAGAGGUAUUAUUUGCUUUUUUUUCAAUGGCUAACUCAAUAAAAGGAAGGUGGUAAUACUUAGUAGUGAUUUAAUUUCAGUGGUUUCAUAAGAAAUUGUAUCUCAUUUGGAAACCUGUAAUUGUUAUCACGUGAAGUAAAUUUAAAAGGUACAGAAAUUGGCUUCAUUUAUCUUAAAGGCAAAAGAUGGAAUGUUAUUAUUAUCAGCUACAAGAGUGAUCUUUAUUUGUGAAAAUUACUCUGCUGAAGUCAGUGUCCUUUAAAUAGUUUAGCAGUUAGUGCUGGAAGAGGGCUACAUUUCAGCAUGAGCAUUACAAAGCUUUGAUUUUUUUUUAUUAGAAAAGGUGCACAAGCAGUUUUCAAAUAACUUAUGCAUGGCAACACUGAUCUGGUAAUAGGAUGAUAGAUUAUUUAUAUUAAAAACAGUUCUUGAAUCCAAUACUGUGUAAUGUGUUAAGCACUGUAAUUGCACUGGAGAGAACAGACUUGUUAGAAAAUCAAGCGCAAACAGAUUUUUGACAGAGUAUUACUGCAUCUGAGAUGUAAUGAACUGGAGAACCAACAUGAAAAAUAGGAAAACACGUUGGGAGAUCUUCAUCAACGGAAAAGUAAAGUGUCUUCAUGGGACUUGUACACAAGCAUAUUAGUUACCGUAUUCUUAGAUAUGACAAAUUAGUUGAUAAGAGACACAGACGGGAAAAGGAUUCUAAUACUCACGACAUAGAUAAAGAGUACAGCACAGAGCUUAAGAAGAGAAAAUAAGACAAGUAAAAAAUGAAUGAGCUGCCACAGAAAGUAAUAUUCAUAAUAAUGCUAAUUGCAAAAUCAUGCUUGGGCCAAUAAAUAAAUAAAAAAAAAUAAAAGGAAAGGAAAAAAGGUUCUAUAUUACACACAAGUCCUUAUUUCUAUAUACAGUCCAGUGUAAAUUCCCAGACAUCUUGAGUCUGGGGAAUACUUCUGCACAGCUGAGCAAAGCCUAAGGCCAUCUCCUGGCAGGACAGAGACAAUGGAUGCCAAGUCUAUCUGAGAAUAGUGUACAUGAGAAGUCUGCUGGUGAAGGCUGCCUCAAAUUACAAAUAGCUUGAGGAAAAACUGGGGGGUUUGAAGGAACAGAUUAAGAAUGUGGCUGGGAGGAAGACUGUGCUUUUUAUGCUGUUCUUGGCUUGAGUGUUACAGAGGUCUAUGGCUGCCUUGAUAAGAGAGCUGAGAACCUGACACAUCACUUACUUAAGAUAGGGUAAGUGCCUGAAUGCAGUUUUAUUCUGUAAGAAAUACUAAGAUGGUGAAACCGGUACUGGCAAAGUCUCUGAUAAAUCUUCUUCUCCAAGAUGAUGCUGUUUCCUUGAACAUCUCACAACAGACUCCUUACGUGUGGGUGAUCCUUGUAGCUUCAAAUCACCAGUGCCUCUGAACAAGAGAGCUUGUGUAUGCAGAUGUGACUAUUCUUGUAUACACAUAACCAGCUACUGUUUAAAUAAGUGGCAUUUUGCUCAGACAUGUUACAGAUCUGCACCUAUUUUUUAGAUGUGUACAAUAUACAAGCUUAACUUUGACUGUCGCCCUUUCACAUGUAAAGGUUCAGUACAUGUCUUUAAACCCCCACCCCUCUGCCCUACCCCUACAUAAAAACAAAGACAACACUCAAUACUCAAAUCACUAAAAGUAAGUUCAUUGCUGCACCAAAACACAUGUUAAAAUACCACGCUGUUGUCUUAUGACAGCAACAUAGUAUGUCCUUAAUAUCAGUUUUAUUUUAUUUACCCUUCCAGAGCAUCAUAUCUUUUCAUGAAUGGGCAAUGUAUGAUGCAGUUCUGGUCUUAUCACAACAUGUGUAACAUCUGGAAGAACUGCCACUUGACAAGCCAACCAAGGCCCUGCUGACAGACAAAGUGAGCAUUAUACUGAAAUGCCAUUCCUCAGCUGUUUGCAGAAUUGAUUUCCCUGUAGAAUUUUCUAAUUAGUUGGCUCUUUCUAGCCUGUUCCCCACAGAGGAAGCAGAAAGGAAGCAAAAUGCUAGCACCUGCUCCUAGAGCUCUGGCUGGGAAAAAAAAAAAAAAAAGAAAAAAAAAAAUUAAAUUUAAGGAUGACAUAUACAGUAAGUAUUUAGGCACUAGAAAGUCUCCUAUCCAUGCAGCUGUGGGGAUGAAGUAAGUCUGCUUGAAAGCUUAAUGGGGAUUCUUCUGUGGGGAAGAAUUUCCAGUGGCUCACAUUCCAGACAGUUAACCACAUUAUCGAGGGGAAGAAAAAGGGAUUUGUUCAAGCGUUAAGAACAGUUGUUUUUUUAUUUUUGUGUG